rnacentral:lncRNA from 1 species
CUGGGGCAUCAUUUCAGUGAGGCAGCCUCUGCCUAAAUUAUUUCCACUUACACGGAUCUCACAUGGAAAAAAAAACCAAUGAAUGUAAAGGUUUUCUCUAAGUGCUAGAAAGAAAUGUCUCAGUCAGGGACCUGGUCAAACUCUAGGUUGAAAUUUAAUGUGCUUCAGCCAUCAGCUGCUUGUCUUGCUUUGAGCCCCAGGUGGAAAUCAAACGAGUAUGGAAAUGUCAAACCAACAUAUACUCAGGUGGGAUCUGAACUCCUUGACAGAACUAAGGGCUUCCACAAACUAACCAGCUGUAAGAAAUGUGUCAGUGGGAACAAGGGAGAGAGAAGCAGAGCUGACCAGAAAGAAAAAGUGAUGUCAUGUGGGUUCGAGUGGAUGUGAACCGCUCAGUCUCAAAAGUGACAAAUGAGGCUAAAGAAAUUUGUUAUUUCCUGUGAAGCUGCUUUGGAUUUCACCAGCAGUCAUUAAUUCCCUCUAUGUUGAGGAGGGAAAGUUUUGGGUUUCAGGUAUAGACAGAUGAUUCAGGGAGGAAGGACCUUGUGUGAGAGGCAUGAGUGAUAGCUGAAAUCCUGGGAGCCAGAGUCAUCUGUUUGCAGAAAGCUUCCCCAAAGUGCACAAAGCCAGAUUUCUGCCUUCAUAAAUAUUGUUCUUUCAGGACACGUUUACUAAAUCACGUCUAGUUCACAAUCAUUUGCCAGCCCCAUUUAACUUCAUUAGCUCAGGUCCAGUUCAUACUGUUUAAAACACAGCGUUUCUUGGGAACGGCACAUACAGAAUUAUGUGAACUGUUCGGAAUAGCUUCACCCUGAGCACUUAGCAUGGCUCAUUCUUUGCUACAAUGCUACUAAUCCAGGCACUUACCAGCGAGUCACUCAGUUUCUCCCAGAUCAAGAGCCUCCCUGUAACUUGCAUUGUAUGGUGCAGAAGUGUAGGUGUUACAGAAACAGACUGGAUUCAUCCUGAAAGGCAACACAUGAGGAGGUGGCUGUCUGCCCAUCCAAACUGUCACCAUGCCGAGAGGACAUGGACACAAUCAGUGCCAUUACCCACUGAUGGGACCCGUCCCAGCAGGAAUAUCUAUGCCUAUAAACAGGGAAAGGUGCUUGUAUACACUGCCUUGAAGUACCAGGUGAGACUCAGGCAAGUUUUUCAGACGAUACACCAAAAUUUUCUUGAUAUUGUUUUGUAAGGAAAUUUGCUAUCAAAAAAUGGCAGUCCCAUUUCCAUCUCCACAAACUGGAGGGAUCUGGUGUGAGGAUGUGGCUGCUUGCUUGUGAGGCCUGGCCAGGCUGCUAGCAGGGGGCUGCCUGCAAUCACAAGAACAAAAGUGUCUCGUUGCCUCUGUGGUACGGUCAAAUGCUAUAUUCUCAGUCUUAUCAUGUAGGAGUGCAUUAGAAACCUUAACAGCAAAGUUCACCUGCAUUUCUGAAAGUCCCAUCUGUUGUGCUCUUCCCCGGAGGACCCAAAUUGGUGUUUUAUGUGCCUUGGUGCUGAUAGCCAAUGAAUACUGUG